ACAUAAAGAGACAAGAAACUGAGCUGCACUCUAAAAGUUGCCGUUAAUUUACACAGGUUCACAGUGGUGUAGUGCCGUUACUUUGCACAGGUUCACAGUGGUGUAGUGCCGUUAAUUUACACAGGUUCACAUGGCGUAGUACCAUUCAUUUACACAGGUUCACAGUGGUGUAGUGCCGUUAAUUUACACAGGGUCACAGUGGUGUUUGCCUGGCGUAACCAUGGCAGUGUAUGGAGUUUGCCACUUCACAGUAAUGCACUGUUAAAAUAACAGGAAAAUAAUGGCAACCCUACUGCCAGUUAUUUAUUUAACAGGGAAAUAUUUCAGAGUGUUGAUAAACUCAUUCCUCUGUGGAGUGAUGUGUCAAUUUCUUCACACUUACAAUUUCUACACACUUCCUACAUCAGCAAUACAUACAGUUAAGA